rnacentral:misc_RNA from 1 species
AAGACUAUAGACCUGCGGAGUACCUGCGGAGGGAUCAUUAGUGAACGCCCUCACGGGCUUAUAACUAUUCCAAACCUCAGUGAACCGUGCCCUUCGGGGCUAUUUUACAAACAUGGUGUAAUGAACGUCAUAUAUCAUAACAAAACAAAACUUUCAACAACGGAUCUCU